CUGGCUCAGAUUUGAACGCUGGCGGCAGGCCUAACACAUGCAAGUCGAGCGGUAGAGAGAAGCUUGCUUCUCUUGAGAGCGGCGGACGGGUGAGUAAUGCCUAGGAAUCUGCCUGGUAGUGGGGGAUAACGUUCGGAAACGGACGCUAAUACCGCAUACGUCCUACGGGAGAAAGCAGGGGACCUUCGGGCCUUGCGCUAUCAGAUGAGCCUAGGUCGGAUUAGCUAGUUGGUGAGGUAAUGGCUCACCAAGGCGACGAUCCGUAACUGGUCUGAGAGGAUGAUCAGUCACACUGGAACUGAGACACGGUCCAGACUCCUACGGGAGGCAGCAGUGGGGAAUAUUGGACAAUGGGCGAAAGCCUGAUCCACCAUGCCGCGUGUGUGAAGAAGGUCUUCGGAUUGUAAAGCACUUUAAGUUGGAGAAGCCCUU
rnacentral:rRNA from 1 species